rnacentral:lncRNA from 1 species
CCACAUCAGCAACAACCAGUCAAACAUCAAGUUCAACAGCAAGUCCAUCCACAACUUCUGCAACUACAUCGACACCAACAUCAGCAACAACCAGUCAAACAUCAAGUUCAAGAACAAGUCCAUCCACAACUUCUGCAACUACAUUGUCACCAACAUCAGCAACAACCAGUCAAACAUCUAGUUCAACAUCCACAAGCCCAUCCACAACUUCUGCAACUACAUCGUCACCAACAGCAAGCAAUAACCAGUCAAACAUCUAGUUCAACAUCCACAAGUCCAUCCACAACUUCUGCAACUACAUCAUCACCAACCACAUCAGCAACAACCAGUCAAACAUCAAGUUCAACAACAAGUCCAUCCACAACUUCUGCAACUACAUCGUCACCAACAUCAGCAACAACCAGUCAAACAUCAAGUUCAAUAUCUACAAGUCCAUACACAACUUCUACAACUACAUCAUCACCAACCACGUCAGCAACAACCAGUCAAACAUCAAGUUCAACAUCAACAAGUCCAUCCACAACUUCUGCAACUACAUCGUCACCAACCACAUCAGCAACAACCAGUCAAACAUCAAGUUCAACAACAAGUCCAUCCACAACUUCUGCAACUACAUCAUCACUAACCACAUCAGCAACAAGCAGUCAAACAUCAAGUUCAACAACAAAAAGUCCAUCCACAACUUCUGCAACUACAUCGUCACCAACGACAUCAGCAACAACCAGUCAAACAUCAAGUUCAAGAACAAGUCCAUCCACAACUUCUGCAACUACAUUGUCACCAACAUCAGCAACAACCAGUCAAACAUCUAGUUCAACAUCCACAAGCCCAUCCACAACUUCUGCAACUACAUCGUCACCAACAGCAGCAAUAACCAGUCAAACAUCUAGUUCAACAUCCACAAGUCUAUCCACAACUUCUGCAACUACAUCAUCACCAACCACAUCAGCAACAAGCAGUCAAACAUCAAGUUCAACAACAACAAGUCCAUCCACAACUUCUGCAACUACAUCGUCACCAACGACAUCAGCAACAACCAGUCAAACAUCAAGUUCAAGAACAAGUCCAUCCACAACUUCUGCAACUACAUUGUCACCAACAUCAGCAACAAGCAGUCAAACAUCUAGUUCAACAUCCACAAGCCCAUCCACAACUUCUGCAACUACAUCGUCACCAACAGCAGCAAUAACCAGUCAAACAUCUAGUUCAACAUCCACAAGUCUAUCCACAACUUCUGCAACUACAUCAUCACCAACCACAUCAGCAACAAGCAGUCAAACAUCAAGUUCAACAACAACAAGUCCAUCCACAACUUCUGCAACUACAUCAUCACCAACCACAUCAGCAACAACCAGUCAAACAUCAAGUUCAACAUCUACAAGUCCAUCCACAACUACAUCGUCACCAACCACAUCAGUAACAACCAGUCAAACGUCUAGUUCAACAUCCACAAGUCCAUCCACAACUUCUGCAACUACAUCAUCACCAACCACAUCAGCAAUAACCAUUCAAACAUCUAGUUCAACAUCAACAAGUCCAUUCACAACUUCUGCAACUACAUCGUCACCAUCCACAUCAGCAACCAGCAGUCAAACAUCAAGUUCAACAGCAAGUCCAUCCACAACUUCUGCAACUACAUCAUCACCAACCACAUCAGCAACAACCAGUCAAACAUCUAGUUCAACAUCCACAAGUCCAUCCACAACUUCUGCAACUACAUCAUCACCAACCACAUCAGCAACAACCAGUCAAACAUCAAGUUCAACAUCUACAAGUCCAUCCACAACUACAUCGUCACCAACGACAUCAGCAACAACCAGUCAAACAUCAAGUUCAACAUCUACAAGUCCAUCCACAACUACAUCGUCACCAACGACAUCAGCAACAACCAGUCAAACAUCAAGUUCAAGAACAAGUCCAUCCACAACUUCUGCAACUACAUUGUCACCAACAUCAGCAACAACCAGUCAAACAUCUAGUUCAACAUCCACAAGUCCAUCCACAACUUCUGCAACUACAUCGUCACCAACAACAGCAGCAAUAACCAUUCAAACAUCUAGUUCAACAUCCACAAGUCCAUCCACAACUUCUGCAACUACAUCAUCACCAACCACAUCAGCAACAACCAGUCAAACAUCAAGUUCAACAACAAGUCCAUCCAGAACUUCUGCAACUACAUCGUCACCAACAACAUCAGCAACAAGCAGUCAAACAUCAAGUUCAACAUCAACAAGUCCAUCCACAACUUCUGCAACUACAUCGUCACCAACCACAUCAGCAAAAAGCAGUCAAACAUCAAGUUCAACAGCAAGUCCAUCCACAACUUCUGCAACAACAUCAUCACCAACCACAUCAGCAACAACCAGUCAAACAUCAAGUUCAACAUCAACAAGUCCAUUCACAACUUCUGCAACUACAUCGUCACCAACCACAUCAGCAACAAGCAGUCAAACAUCAAGUUCAACAGCAAGUCCAUCCACAACUUCUGCAACUACAUCGUCACCAACAUCAGCAACAAGCAGUCAAACAUCUAGUUCAACAUCCACAAGUCCAUCCACAACUUCUGCAACUACAUCGUCACCAACCACAUCAGCAACAACCAGUCAAACAUCAAGUUCAACAGCAAGUCCAUCCACAACUUCUGCAACAACAUCAUCACCAACCACAUCAGCAACAACCAGUCAAACAUCAAGUUCAACAUCAACAAGUCCAUUCACAACUUCUGCAACUACAUCGUCACCAUCCACAUCAGCAACCAGCAGUCAAACAUCAAGUUCAACAGCAAGUCCAUCCACAACUUCUGCAACUACAUCAUCACCAACCACAUCAGCAACAACCAGUCAAACAUCUAGUUCAACAUCCACAAGUCCAUCCACAACUUCUGCAACUACAUCAUCACCAACCACAUCAGCAACAACCAGUCAAACAUCAAGUUCAACAUCUACAAGUCCAUCCACAACUACAUCGUCACCAACGACAUCAGCAACAACCAGUCAAACAUCAAGUUCAACAUCUGCAAGUCCAUCCACAACUACAUCGUCACCAACGACAUCAGCAACAACCAGUCAAACAUCAAGUUCAAGAACAAGUCCAUCCACAACUUCUGCAACUACAUUGUCACCAACAUCAGCAACAACCAGUCAAACAUCUAGUUCAACAUCCACAAGUCCAUCCACAACUUCUGCAACUACAUCGUCACCAACAACAGCAGCAAUAACCAUUCAAACAUCUAGUUCAACAUCCACAAGUCCAUCCACAACUUCUGCAACUACAUCAUCACCAACCACAUCAGCAACAACCAGUCAAACAUCAAGUUCAACAACAAGUCCAUCCACAACUUCUGCAACUACAUCGUCACCAACAUCAGCAACAACCAGUCAAACAUCAAGUUCAAUAUCUACAAGUCCAUCCACAACUUCUGCAACUACAUCAUCACCAACCACAUCAGCAACAAGCAGUCAAACAUCAAGUUCAACAUCAACAAGUCCAUCCACAACUUCUGCGACUACAUCGUCACCAUCCACAUCAGCAACAAGCAGUCAAACAUCAAGUUCAACAGCAAGUCCAUCCACAACUUCUGCAACUACAUCAUCACCAACCACAUCAGCAACAACCAGUCAAACAUCAAGUUCAACAUCUACAAGUCCAUCCACAACUACAUCGUCACCAACGACAUCAGCGACAACCAGUCAAACAUCAAGUUCAAGAACAAGUCCAUCCACAACUUCUGCAACUACAUUGUCACCAACAUCAGCAACAACCAGUCAAACAUCUAGUUCAACAUCCACAAGCCCAUCCACAACUUCUGCAACUACAUCGUCACCAACAGCAGCAAUAACCCGUCAAACAUCUAGUUCAACAUCCACAAGUCUAUCCACAACUUCUGCAACUACAUCAUCACCAACCACAUCAGCAACAAGCAGUCAAACAUCAAGUUCAACAACAAGUCCAUCCACAACUUCUGCAACUACAUCAUCACCAACCACAUCAGCAACAACCAGUCAAACAUCAAGUUCAACAUCUACAAGUCCAUCCACAACUACAUCGUCACCAACCACAUCAGUAACAACCAGUCAAACGUCUAGUUCAACAUCCACAAGUCCAUCCACAACUUCUGCAACUACAUUGUCACCAACAUCAGCAACAACCAGUCAAACAUCUAGUUCAACAGCAAGUCCAUCCACAACUUCUGCAACUACAUCGUCACCAACAUCAGCAACAAGCAGUCAAACAUCUAGUUCAACAUCCACAAGUUCAUCCACAACUUCUGCAACUACAUCAUCACCAACCACAUCAGCAACAAGUAGUCAAACAUCAAGUUCAACAACAAGUCCAUCCACAACUUCUGCGACUACAUCGUCACCAACAACAUCAGCAACAAGCAGUCAAACAUCAAGUUCAACAACAAGUCCAUCCACAACUUCUGCAACUACAUCGUCACCAACCACAUCAGUAACAACCAGUCAAACAUCUAGUUCAACAUCCACAAGUCCAUCCACAACGUCUGCAACUACAUCGUCACCAACCACAUCAGCAACUUCAGGUGUUGAGCCAAUCUAUAUUGUUUCAGCAACUUUACCUCAAGAGAUUUUUCGAGAAGAACUCACUAACCCCAACAGCACAACAUACAAAGAACUUGAAAGUCGAGUAAUAGACACGUGUACACCUAUCUACACAAGAAAAUAUGGAAAGAGAUUUGUCCGCUGCUUUGUGAAACAAUUCCGCCGUGCUGUGCGUCUACGAGAAGAUGCAACUGCAGCUGAUAUUGGGGUUGUGCUCCGCAACAAUAUCCCCAUUUCUGACCUCCCAAGUAACGACGAAAUUGCUGAAACUUUAGCAAUUGCAGCAAGUAGCAAUGAGACCUUAAGUGUGGCUCUGUCUGCAUCAUCAAUCCAAACUAUAUCUGGUCCAGUUCCUUUAACUACUGAGCCUGCAACUACAACAACCACAGUUGCAGCAACUACAACUCCUGCCAUGACAACAACCACAUCUGCAGCUGUUACAAUAAGUGUGUCAUUUAGAUCACGUCUCAGCACAUUUUCAAGUGACCUGCAGGAUACAUCUUCUGAAGCUUUUAAAAGUCGAGCUUCAAUGAUAAAAUCACAGCUUCAACCAUUGUUCAAGGAACAAUUUUCUUCCUUUAGGUUCAUGGAAGUGGUAUCAUUUAGAAAUGGCUCAGUCAUCAAUGACAUGACACUCGGCUUUGACAGUACGGCUGUCCCUCAUCACACCGUGAUUGCCAGUGUUUUAAUUAACGCAUCUUCGGUUGUCACUGGUUUUGACAUUGAAGGCAGCUCCAUUUCUGUAGAUGGCAUAGCAUCAAGUGGAGUCAACCAGAACAUGAGUCUCUUCACUGCAUUCUCUUUGGUACUGCUGUCAUGGAUACUGUCAAACCAGCAAUAAAAUUAUGAGUAUUGUCAUUUAUUGACAGCAUCCAGCAACACUUUAACAGCAGUGCGCAUCAUAAUAAUAAUAUAUAUAUUUAUGUUAUAUUACAAACUGUUCUGCAUUCUCCUGAUUUAUGAAGGUAACAUUAUAGACCUCCUUAUUACAAUGUUACAAUACUAUCACUGAGAAAAGAAAUGAAGUGACAAAUUACAACAAUCACAGUUCUUGAAAUUAUGUGUGUUUUAAAAAAACAUGUUAAUAUAUUUUAUUUUUAGAGACUUAUUUAAUCCUACUAAUCAAGAUGCUGUGAAAUCUUGUAAAACAUGAAAAGGUCAGAAUAAACAAAAAUGACUAAUUUUUAGUUUUUCUCAUGUUUUCCCUCAUCAUUAAAACACAAUUGUGAUUUAUACCAGCCAAUCAGACUGGUUGAUUCACCAUUGUUCAUUUGAAUAAAUUGGUAUACAAAUUGCUGAA